rnacentral:rRNA from 1 species
GACAGAGGCCCCAAGCGUUAGGCGGAAUCACUGGGCUUAAAGCGUGUGUAGGCGGAUCGUUAAGUGUCUUGUGAAAUCCCACGGCUCACCCGUGGAACUGCUGGGCAUACUGGCGAUCUUGGGCCAACUAGGGGCAGUCGGAACAAGCGGUGGAGCGGUGAAAUGCGUAGAUAUCGUUUGGAACGCCAAAGGCGAAAGCAGACGACUGGGGCUGAGCUGACGCUGAGACACGAAAGCCAGGGGAGCAAACGGG